AGCAAUAAAAAAUAUCUGUGGUUGCCAAGUGGUAUUUCUCCGCUGGUUUUUGAGUUCAACAGUCACUUGUCCCGUGGACGCAUUACACGUACACUUAAAGCCAAAACAAAGCUUACAACUUUACUUCGUAUAUACAGUGGAAGUGGAUAAUCCCAUUCAUAAACCAUCCUCUGAGUUCUAACAAAUCAACUGAAAUCUCACUUCUUUAACCCCAAAUCUUUACAACAUGUCGUCUACAGCCGUCCUUGUGAUCCCCUGCACAGCGGCGGUUGCAUGGGAGGCAGGGAAGCCGUUGGUGAUGGAGAGGGUGGAGGUUGCUCCACCUCAGGCCAUGGAAGUUAGGGUCAAGAUCAAAUAUACUUCACUUUGCCACACACACACACAUGAUUUUAUAUGAUUACGAUUUGAAAUUUGUAGAUUUGUAAAGUACGAGUUUGGUUUUUGAAAAACUUUGUUUUUGUCUACU